rnacentral:rRNA from 1 species
UACGAAGGGGGCUAGCGUUGCUCGGAAUCACUGGGCGUAAAGGGUGCGUAGGCGGGUCUUUAAGUCAGGGGUGAAAUCCUGGAGCUCAACUCCAGAACUGCCUUUGAUACUGAAGAUCUUGAGUUCGGGAGAGGUGAGUGGAACUGCGAGUGUAGAGGUGAAAUUCGUAGAUAUUCGCAAGAACACCAGUGGCGAAGGCGGCUCACUGGCCCGAUACUGACGCUGAGGCGCGAAAGCGUGGGGAGCA